rnacentral:rRNA from 1 species
CGAAAGCCUGACGGAGCAACGCCGCGUGAGGGAUGAAGGCCUCUGGGCUGUAAACCUCUUUUCUCAAGGAAGAAGAUCUGACGGUACUUGAGGAAUAAGCCACGGCUAACUCCGUGCCAGCAGCCGCGGUAAUACGGGAGUGGCAAGCGUUAUCCGGAAUUAUUGGGCGUAAAGCGUCCGCAGCCGGCCUUGAAAGUCUGUCGUUAAAGCGUGGAGCUUAACUCCAUUUCAGCGAUGGAAACUACAAGGCUUGAGUGUGGUAGGGGCAGAGGGAAUUCCCGGUGUAGCGGUGAAAUGCGUAGAUAUCGGGAAGAACACCAGUGGCGAAGGCGCUCUGCUGGGCCAUCACUGACGCUCAUGGACGAAAGCCAGGGGAGCG